CAGAAUGUCAGUGGCUGUGCUUUGCCUUUGCUUUUCCAACUCCCUUAAGCGAGAAGAACACAAGCCACAUGUUAGUGAGGAGUGAGGCAACAGAGCCCCUCGUUGGACCUGCGCCUGGCAAACAGUGCCUCUGCAGCUUCCCUUUCUUUUGUCCCUGGAUGGCUUUCCCCCACUCCUCACCAGAGCACACAGGAAGCCCACUGCUGGGGAAUCAAGCCCCUGCCUGAUGAGAAUCUCAGCAUGGUGAGCAGCUGGAGGAGAGCAAAGAACAGAGACAGCAAACACCCAUCCUGUCAGAAGACCUGACCCCACACAUUCUUCUUUUAAGCCUCAAGCCUCCUAGGGAACCAGGGCUCUAAACUGCCGGAAUCUGAAUGCUGGAGGGGCCCAAAAAAUGAGAUUCCCUCAGCUUGGUGACUUAUUCUAUUAGCAUUAGAAGUAAUGAAUCUAAACUACCUCUUGGAUGGAAUGCUAUGCUCCAGUGGGUUAUCUACAAGAAACUGUAAAAAUAUACGAACGUUUCUAUAACUUUCAAGACUACAGUUAAUACACGCCUCUGUAAGAACUCAAAUGUACCCCUACUGGACUCAGUGUGAGGAAAAGAAAUGGUCAGAGUAAGAACAGGGGACUUUCUAUUUCUUGUGGUCAUGGUGUAGAGUCUGCACAAUUUUGUGAACUAGCUCUAACCCCUUCUGGGAGUCAAAAGGGCAAGUGAAGGGGGCGCAGUAGCAGUGCUGCCAGUGGGAACAGUCAGCACCCACUGGGUACUUACUACAGGCCGGAUGCUGUGCCCAGCUUCACAGGUAUGCAUUAAUUUCCCUAGGAGCCCUCUGAGUAGCUUCUAUCAUGAUCAUACCCGUCUUAAAGACAAGGAAACUGAGGCACAGAGUUGUUUAGUGAAACCCUGGGACAUGUUAGGAACUCACUUCUCUUUUUGAGCCCUGAGGUACGGUUUGAUGACCAGACGAUGAAGAGCGAAGUAGACCACGAGCGGCCCCACGGUGGCAUAGAACACGGCGCUGGGAAGAAGCUGGUCCGUCAAGUGAAUAGGGAAGAAGUAGGUUUGACUGGCCCUGUUUAACCUGAAAACAAAGAUGAAACAGAACACCCAAGAUAGGUUUCCAGGGAAGGGUGAUGGAGGUCUCAGCCACAGGGCGAGAACUCUAGAUACACACACCACCAGUUCCAGCUGGUUUCAUUAUCUACACACCUUCUAGUCCCUAUUCCAAAGCUGAGCUGCUGGAUUUCAUGUCUGUGACAGAAGAAAGAUCCCACUGCCUGCUAAUUCUGGGCAAAGCAGCGACCACUGCUUUACCAGAGUGACAGUGGCUUUAGAGGACAGGAGCGGGCACCUCCCGAGGCCCUGGACACAGAGACAGAGACCUCUCUGCCCUCAAACUAUUCUGUUGAAAGUAGUGGGUGAUGAUCUCCAAAGCUGGCAGAUUGAAGAGAUUCUGCUUCUAGUAAUGUCCCAGUAGCUCCUAUUGCACCAGUCAUCCAACAGGUAAGCGCUGUAAACCCUGACCACAAACUACAAAGACUCUCGGGUACUGAGGAGCGACAAGAGGCCGGCAAGUGCACAGGAGGGCAAGUCUUAGCUGCUACUGUGUGGUUGGCAAACAUGGGGAGGAAAUCUGCAGUCCUGUGAGUCUGAAGGCCCAGAGCUCGGAGUCUGAAGCAACCACAGCAGCUGGGAAGUAGGGGGUUCCCCAACAAGGGAAAUCAGAGAUGGGCAACCCCAAGUUCUUUUUUAUAAAAGAUUUUAUUUAUUUGUUUGUUUAUUUAUUUAAAGAUUUUAUUUAUUUAUUCAUGAGAUACAGAGAAAGAGAGGCAGGGGACA